rnacentral:rRNA from 1 species
UACAGAGGGUGCUAGCGUUGUUCGGAAUUACUGGGCGUAAAGGGCUCGUAGGCGGCCAACUAAGUCAGACGUGAAAUCCCCAGGCUCAACCUGGGAACUGCGUCUGAUACUGGAUGGCUUGAAUCCGGGAGAGGGAUGCAGAAUUCCAGGUGUAGCGGUGAAAUGCGUAGAUAUCGGGAGGAACACCAGUGGCGAAGGCGGCUUCCUGGCCUGUUCUUGACGCUGAGGCGCGAAAGCUAGGGGAGCAAACGGGG